AUUGAACGCUGGCGGCAGGCCUAACACAUGCAAGUCGAACGAGUGGCGGACGGGUGAGUAAUGUCUGGGAAACUGCCCGAUGGAGGGGGAUAACUACUGGAAACGGUAGCUAAUACCGCAUACCAUCGGAUGUGCCCAGAUGGGAUUAGCUAGUAGGUGGGGUAAUGGCUCACCUAGGCGACGAUCCCUAGCUGGUCUGAGAGGAUGACGAGCCAAACUGGAACUGAGACACGGUCCAGACUCCUACGGGGGGAGGCAGUGGGGAAUAUUGCACAAUGGGCGAAAGCCUAAUGCAGCCAUGCCGCGUGUAUGAGGAAGGCCUUCGGGUUGUAAAGUACUUUCAGCGGGGAGGCGUUACCCGCAGAAGAAGCACCGGCUAACUCCGUGCCAGCCGCCGCGGUAAUUC
rnacentral:rRNA from 1 species